GUUAAGCAUCCCACCUGGGGAGUACGCCGGCAACGGUGAAACUCAAAGGAAUUGACGGGGGCCCGCACAAGCGGAGGAACAUGUGGUUUAAUUCGAUGAUACGCGAGGAACCUUACCCGGGCUUGAACUGCCAGCGGACGAUACAGAGAUGUUGAGGCCCUUCGGGGCGCUGGCGGAGGUGCUGCAUGGUUGUCGUCAGCUCGUGCCGUGAGGUGUCGGCUUAAGUGCCAUAACGAGCGCAACCCCUCUCCGUAGUUGCCAUCAGGUGAUGCUGGGCACUCUGCGGACACUGCCACCGCAAGGUGUGAGGAAGGUGGGGACGACGUCAAAUCAGCACGGCCCUUACGUCCGGGGCUACACACGUGUUACAAUGGGGGGUACAGAGCGCCGGCUUGCCGCAAGGAGAGUCCAAUCGCAAAAACCUCCCUCAGUUCGGACUGGGGUCUGCAACCCGACCCCACGAAGCUGGAUUCGCUAGUAAUCGCGCAUCAGCCAUGGCGCGGUGAAUACGUUCCCGGGCCUUGUACACACCGCCCGUCAAGCCAUGAAA
rnacentral:rRNA from 1 species